ACGGGAAAUCUGAAAAAUUUUGCAAAAUUUUUUGGGAACUAAACAAGGCCAUAGUACGAGUGUCUAGUAGUCUCUUAAUUAGCCAAGCUAAUAAAGUCUGUCUGAACCUGAAUGUAUGUUUUUUUUCUUUGAGGCGACGACGUUGCCCUUUGUGUGACGUGUGGGGCACAGCAGGGUACUAACGGAUCGGACGUAUGCCAUGAUCGUUUUAACCCUGUUUUUUUUUUCAACAAGAAGAGUGGCGGCCGAAUGAAGCACUGUUGGUUUAAGUACGUUGGGAAAUUCAGAGUUCUAGCCGUCGUCCACAACAUCGCACGAGCAACCACAUGCAUCUUGACGAAGAGAUAGGAAAGGUACACCAAGGUGUUGUGUCCUGCAGG
rnacentral:lncRNA from 1 species